AUGACGCCAUUUUGAGUUUGAUAGUCGAUUCGUGAUUCUUCGUUUUGAGGUUUUGAUUUAGGGCGACUUGACUUAGUUGAUAUUUUAGUUCUUAUUAAACGGAGUGUAGUUAUAUUAUUUAUUGUUAUUUUCUUGAAAUAAUAAAUAACGUUGAAUGUGGUGAUAUUUAAGUUACUUCAUACUGCAUAUAUUAGUGCAAAUAUAAACAUCUAAUAUUUCUUCUUAAUUUAUUAACCUCAAGAGCCUAUCUUAGGCUUUCGGCGUUACCUUUGUUAACUCCAAUACAAUGUUUCGAGACUCAGGUGGUCGGCAGGGAGGACGUGGUGGCGGCAGGGGCGGUGGCCGGGGUGGUGCCAGUAGAGGAGGAGGCCGUGGUGGUGGCAGCAGGACGGGUGGGGAUAGCAGUUUCAGGGGGAGAGGAGGUGGUGGCGGGGGACGGGACAGCUGGAGCAGCAGUAGAGGUGGAAGCAGGAGUAUGAAGGGAGAUAUGCCAGGACAAAACCUAAGGAAGCCGAGGUGGGACAUGAACUCACUGGAACCUUUCCGAAAAGAUUUCUAUGUUGCCUCUCCCACUGUCGCUAAUAGACCACCAGCUGAAGUUGCCAGGUUCCGAGAGUCAAUGGAAAUUACAACUCAUGGAGAUGGAAUACCCAACCCGAUCUGUCACUUUGAGGAAGUCAACUUUCCUGACUACGUCAUGGAUGAGAUCAGGAAACAGGGUUUUGGACAACCAACAGCCAUCCAAUCUCAGGGCUGGCCAAUCGCUCUCAGUGGUCGAGACAUGGUCGGCAUUGCACAGACUGGAUCUGGUAAAACCUUGGCGUAUAUUCUACCAGCCAUAGUCCACAUCAAUUACCAGCCACGUCUGUUGCGUGGUGAUGGUCCAAUAGCGUUGGUGCUGGCUCCCACAAGAGAAUUAGCUCAACAAAUACAACAAGUUGCCACAGAUUUCGGUUCAUCCACGUAUGUCCGCAACACUUGUGUAUUUGGAGGAGCACCCAAAGGGCCGCAAGCCCGAGAUCUGGAGCGAGGAGUAGAGAUUGUGAUAGCGACACCAGGCCGUCUUAUAGACUUCCUGGAGCGUGGCCAGACUAACCUACGGCGGUGCACCUACCUGGUGCUGGACGAGGCUGACAGGAUGCUGGACAUGGGCUUCGAGCCACAAAUACGCAAGAUCAUCGAACAGAUCAGGCCGGAUAGGCAGGUCCUGAUGUGGUCGGCAACAUGGCCUAAGGAAGUGCGGAACCUUGCAGAGGAAUUCCUCAACAACUACCUACAGAUAAACAUCGGCUCCCUCCAGCUGGCAGCCAAUCACAACAUUCAUCAGAUUGUCGAAGUCUGCGAUGAUGUUGAGAAGCCUGACAUGCUGUUGAAAUUGCUGAGCGACAUCUCACAAGAACCUGACAACAAAGCUAUCAUCUUUGUGGAAACAAAGCGGGGAGUGGACGAGAUCACCAGGGCUGUACAGAGAAAUGGAUUUAACGCCAUGGCUAUUCACGGAGACAAAUCCCAACAAGACAGAGAUUACGUACUGGCCGAUUUUCGGUCAGGAAGGACUAACAUUCUGGUUGCAACAGACGUAGCAGCAAGAGGGCUUGGGUGUCUACUUGGGGUGCAUGCGUCUUGGACUUGAGAACUGGAAGAGAGCGGGCGUUAGACUUCCUUACGAUGAACUGUGCUCGGCGACGCCUCAUCAGAGACGUGGACGACGUGAAGUUUGUGAUCAAUUACGACUACCCACAGUCAUCGGAGGACUACGUACACCGGAUCGGGCGUACAGGUCGGUCAAGCAAGACCGGUACCUCUUAUACUUUCUUCACACCGAGUAA
rnacentral:misc_RNA from 1 species